UUUUCUGUUGCACAAUACUGCUGUAAAAUCCAAGGGCUUAACCCAUCUACUACCUCACCCUACUCGUUGUCCUGAGCCACAGAAACCUUAAAGGGAACUCUGCUGUGCAGCAGACCCAGGGAUAGGGAAAAUGUACUAGUUUCCGAAACAAGAACUUAGCCACUCAGCAUUAGAGCAGAAAGAUGAAGACUCAUGCUUGCUGUUCAGAAAGUGUGAAGAGAGCAUCCCGCUGAAGGAGCCUGAUUCCACUGGGUCUACAGGAGACAAGGAUUUCAACACAGCUUCAAAGAACAAAAAGAGGAAAAGAAAAGAAAAAGGGAAAAAAAUAACUAAGGGCCCAACAACUUUUAAAUUCCCACUUGCUUUUUUUUUUUUAAAGGAGCAACAUAUAAAUAAAAACACAAUAAAACUUUCUAGUAAAAUAAAUGCAACUUUA